rnacentral:tRNA from 1 species
GGAACCAGUGGCUCAAUGGCAGAGCAGCUGCUUGGCAUACAGAAGGCCCCAGGUUCAAUCUCUGCCAUCUCCA